CAGCGGCAGCCCAUCUUGUCUCGGAACAACUUCGCCUCGGACACAUUGAGCCUUCUUCCUCCCCAUGGAAUACACCAAUUUUUGUCAUCAAAAAGAAAACCUCUGGCCAAUGGCGCCUCCUUCAGGACUUAAGGAAGGUAAACAACCAGAUGCAACCUAUGGGCACAUUACAGCCUGGUUUGCCUAAUCCCAACAUGAUACCAAAAGACCACAAACUUCUGGUGGUAGAUAUAAAAGACUGUUUCUUUUCCAUACCACUAGCCCCACCAGAUCGUCAGCGUUUUGCCUUUAC
rnacentral:sRNA from 1 species